rnacentral:rRNA from 1 species
GGCGGACGGGUUAGUAACGCGUGGGAACGUACCCUUCUCUACGGAAUAGCCUCGGGAAACUGAGAGUAAUACCGUAUACGCCCUUCGGGGGAAAGAUUUAUCGGAGAAGGGUCGGCCCGCGUAAGAUUAGAUAGUUGGUGGGGUAAUGGCCUACCAAGUCUACGAUCUUUAGCUGGUUUGAGAGGAUGAUCAGCAACACUGGGACUGAGACACGGCCCAGACUCCUACGGGAGGCAGCAGUGGGGAAUCUUAGACAAUGGGGGAAACCCUGAUCUAGCCAUGCCGCGUGAGUGACGAAGGCCUUAGGGUCGUAAAGCUCUUUCGCUGGGGAAGAUAAUGACUGUACCCAGUAAAGAAACCCCGGCUGACUCCGUGCCAGCAGCCGCGGUAAUACGGAGGGGGUUAGCGUUGUUCGGAAUUACUGGGCGUAGAGCGCGC